UACAGAGGUCUCAAGCGUUGUUCGGAUUCAUUGGGCGUAAAGGGUGCGUAGGUGGCGCGCUAAGUCGGGUGUGAAAUCUCGGAGCUUAACUCCGAAAUUGCAUUCGAUACUGGCGUGCUUGAGGACUGGAGAGGAGACUGGAAUUCAUGGUGUAGCAGUGAAAUGCGCAGAUAUCAGGAGGAACACCCGUGGCGAAAGCGGCUCUCUGGGACGGUACUGACGCUGAGACGCGAAAGCGUGGGGAGCAAACAG
rnacentral:rRNA from 1 species